rnacentral:rRNA from 1 species
UGCAGUCGAGCGCAGGAAUCGACGGAACCCUUCGGGGGGAAGUCGACGGAAUGAGCGGCGGACGGGUGAGUAACACGUAAAGAACCUGCCCUCAGGUCUGGGAUAACCACGAGAAAUCGGGGCUAAUACCGGAUGGGUCAUCGGACCGCAUGGUCCGAGGAUGAAAGGCGCUUCGGCGUCCCCUGGGGAUGGCUUUGCGGUGCAUUAGCUAGUUGGUGGGGUAAUGGCCCACCAAGGCGACGAUGCAUAGCCGACCUGAGAGGGUGAUCGGCCACACUGGGACUGAGACACGGCCCAGACUCCUACGGGAGGCAGCAGUAGGGAAUCUUCCACAAUGGACGAAAGUCUGAUGGAGCAACGCCGCGUGAACGAUGAAGGCCUUCGGGUCGUAAAGUUCUGUUGUAAGGGAAGAACAAGUGCCGCAGGCAAUGGCGGCACCUUGACGGUACCUUGCGAGAAAGCCACGGCUAACUACGUGCCAGCAGCC